UACGUAGGGUGCAAGCGUUGUCCGGAAUUAUUGGGCGUAAAGCGCACGUAGGCGGCUUUGUAAGUUAGAGGUGAAAGCCCGGGGCUCAACUCCGGAACUGCCUUUAAGACUGCAUCGCUUGAAUCCAGGAGAGGUGAGUGGAAUUCCGAGUGUAGAGGUGAAAUUCGUAGAUAUUCGGAAGAACACCAGUGGCGAAGGCGACUCACUGGACACAUAUUGACGCUGAGGUGCGAAAGCGUGGGGAGCAAACAGG
rnacentral:rRNA from 1 species